CGCGCGGUUUUCCGCGGGGGAUGCGGGUAGCCGGGUGGCUUUCAGUCACAGUUUGACUCUUCGCUGAGCGCUUCCACACACGUCACGAACCUCAAAGCAGGGCCAGAUUCUGUAACAGAUUGUCACCAAAUGGCAGCGUUUUCCCGCAACUUGUUUGAGAUUCCAUUUCAAAUUCGGUAACUCCUUCCCUGGAUGUGGUAUCUGUCAUUCUCAUGAAAGCUUUUAUACAUGCUAUAUAUAGCUAUAUUGAUGACUGCCACAUCCUUUUUGCAAUAAAGGCAUUUUUCCUCUCGAAACGGACAGUCUGCGCUCAAAUGCUCUUUCAGAUCUUUGCGAAGGACUGGCUCCCGACAGCUCUCAUUAGGGCACUGCACAGCUUGGAAUAAGCAGUGCUGAAGGUGGUCCUGCGACAGAUAAAAACAAGCCAGUGGGGACCCACUGAGCAGGGCAGUGGGAGGGGAAGCCUGGUGCAAGGCCUAGUGAGGGAGGGAGGGAGGACCCUGGGGCAGCAGGAGAAAGGACUGCGGGGGUGGGGGGCAGGGGGCACAGCCUCUGUCACAGGCUCUCUGCAGAGGCCACCCGCUGCCUCUGCUGAGCACAGGGCAUGGAGAAGGCUGCUUGCACGGAGGCUGUGACAGCCAGCCUUGUUUGGAGGACAGGGGAAGAUGCGUGAGGAAGAAAGCAUGCCGGGUUUAUCUUUGAUUACCUAUUAACCUGCUCAUAUUCUCAGGUUAGCUCUUGAAUAUUUUCCUUAGACACGCCAAUUAAUUUACCAGCUCCUCAAGGACAUUUCUUUUGUGCACCCUCCAUCCCCACCUCCAGCACCAAGUACUAAUCUCUGCACAGCAGAUGGUAAAAGCCGCAACAGAGGGCAAAGAGGGAAGAAGAGAAGGCUACCUCCUAAUAAUGAGAGACAGUGACAACUGACAUCUACAUCUUCUCCAAAAUCCAUGGAUGCUACCCCUCAGCUCUCACCAAAACCAUCAACAUUCAUCAAGACUCUGCUACCUGUGAGAUCCUACACCUUACUCGCAAGGUGAAGGAGAACAGGGAAUGAGAGGAAAUACAAAAGAAACAGGUGAAAAUAAACCAGCCACUGUUCUCCAGAAGCUGAGGAUCUGGUCACUAGAGCUGAUCAAUGAGCCUCAUUUCCUGUACAGGCUUAGUGACAACAAAGUUGGUAAAGAGGCCCUGCUUGCUCUAGGACCUGACUAUCAAAACAAGUGGCGAGGGACUGUCUUAGGAAAACACAAAAACCUUCCGUGAACUUCCAAAGAAAUUCUUGGGUUAACAAGGGAAUCAUUUACACAUUUAUGAGCUCAGUGCCUAGGGGUGCAGAGGCACGAUGGGGAAAAGACUGAAUCACCUGAAAUACAUUCCAAAACGUGUGGCUGGGAAGGGAAACUUGUAGCAUCCUCCUAGCAAUUCCCUGGAAGCUAGAGAUGCUUGCCUCGUAUUCAUUCAUAGUGUGAUUGAACCUGACAUGGGCUUGCUGUGGCGGAGCCACGUUUCCUGCUUCCCAUUUAACAACCUUCCACCGCUGGAUGCAAGAGCAAGGUAGGACAGCUUCAUCUGAAAGGAACUCGACAACCCUUCACCUCCCCUACACCUCGUUUGUUUGCAUCUCAUACCAAUGCUUCGCCUUUACACUACAUUCUAGCUCUGUUCUGGUCUGUGUCGUCUGCCUUAGAUCACAACCUCUAAGACAGCAGGGCCCACAGCGGCUAGGAGACACCCACCCCAGCACCUGCAAAUGCUUCCAGGCAGGGACCCUUACAAUUGUGUCUUUCUGCAGUCAUGCCCUGGCUCCCAUCCUAGGAAUCCCCAAUCCUUCACAGUUUUCCAAAAAUGACGUGUCCUUGCUCGACCAUUUCUUUUGCCCAGCAUGUCUCACAUCUUCUCUUUUGAAUCAAUAACCCUAACCCACAAGUUAAGGUCUAGCACACGUGGUAUGUCCUCCAUGUGUUCCAAACAAAAUGAAUCUCUUCACGUGAGAUUAAUUUCACACCUUAGCCCUCGGUGGGCUGCACUGUAGCCAAGUGCACCUCUAGACAAGAAUUCUCUGAGGGCAACCCAAUGAAUCUCCGUACCAUGCUUAGCCCACUAACUGUCACAUAAAA